AUUGAACGCUGGCGGAAUGCCUAACACAUGCAAGUCGAGCGGAGUAGCAAUACUCAGCGGCGGACGGGCGAGGAAUACAUAGGAACUUGCCUUUAGGUGGGGGAUAGCUUGGGGAAACUCAAGGUAAUACCGCAUGAUCUCGCAAGAGCAAAGGGGCGCAAGUCUCGCCUUUAGAGAGGCCUACGUCUGAUUAGCUAGUUGGCGGUGUAAUAGACCACCAAGGCGACGAUCAGUAACUGGUCUGAGAGGACGAUCAGUCACACCGGAACUGAGACACGGUCCGGACUCCUACGGGAGGCAGCAGUGGGGAAUAUUGGACAAUGGGCGAAAGCCUGAUCCAGCAAUUCCGCGUGUGUGAAGAAGGCCUUCGGGUUGUAAAGCACUUAGUGAGGGAAGAAACAGCUUGGCCACACCAAGCCUUGACGGUACCUCAAGAAUAAGCACCGGCUAACUCUGUGCCAGCCGCCGCGGUAA
rnacentral:rRNA from 1 species